CCAUUAAUAUCUUUUUUUUGCAAACCCAACAGCCACCUCAUUUGAAUUUUUUUUCAAUUAAUUGUCCAUUAACAGACCACCUCAUUUGAAUUUUUUUAUUUUUAUUUAUAUUUUAAUCUAUUCUGGUUUAUAUAUCUAAGUUGUUACUGAAGUAAUAAAUAACCAUAAGUGGCCUAGUGGAGAGAGAGCAGUUUCAUUUUCUUAAGUGGGAUGGGUUUGAUACUUAGGGGUAGCAUAACUUUCAUAUUUUUAUGCUUGCUACUUAAUAACUUCUACUAUUUAUUUUACUUUUAAUUUUUUUAUUUGAUUAGAUUAAUUUAAUUGUUAAUUGGUUGUUAGAUUUUAAAUGUUUAGUUUUUUAGAUUUUUC
rnacentral:lncRNA from 1 species